AAAAACUACAGAUUUUCUUACCUUCGAAGUUGGAAAAUGUAAGUUCAUCACAUUCAAGUACAAUAUCGUGCAUAUCCCCAAUAUGCUCUCUUAAUUGUUGAUAGGUUAAUGAAUUUCUGCCGUAAGAUGAACCAAUUAAACUACUUCCUACUGAUUCAGGACGUACAUCAUGCACAUUACAUAAAUGGCGAAAUAAAUUAGAACGAAAUUAAAAAUAUCUUCUCGCAAAAAGUGCAAAUUUCUUUUUUAAGAAUAAUCUAUCCAGAAUGAAAUAACUUUGUACACAAUGCUAGAAUAUUAUGGUAGAGCAACAGCUGGCAUAAAAUCCUGCCGAAAAACUAAAAUGGUAGUGUUAAUACAAAAGAAUGUCUAUUCUUUGGUUAAAAUUUUCGCUACACAAAUUCGCCAAGACGUUUUCGCCAAUUCGUACGACAACCCGAGAGGAUUUCGGUUAGAAUUGAGCAAAGAGGUUAGAAUAGAAGAAGGGUAGGUUCAAGUCAACCGGAGAAGCUUGGCAGCCAUGUUACUAUUAUCGCUGUGACUUGAGCAAGGAAGUCUGUUUCCUCAAAAUGCAGAACGGAGAGCAGCAUGGGUAAGAGCUGUUCGAAGAGCAAACUGGAAGCCGACUAAAUUUUCACGAAUUUGUUCUGAACAUUUUUCUGAAGAUCAAAUAGACAGAACUUCAUUAUGCUGUGUAAGACUGAGAGAUUAUGCUGUGCCUAAUAUCUUCAAAGCUUUUCCACCUUACCUGCAAAAGUUGAUAAAAAAUCCACAAAAACCUCCCACAGAAAGUUUUAUUGAGUAUAAAAAUAAAGAGGAGCCUGUAUUAAGUGAAAUGCAAACUAAUGCAACUUCUGCUGAACCUUCUCCAUGCAAGCAAGAACUGAAACGAAAGCUGCACGAAGUUAAAGAAUUAAAUUGUGUCAACAGAAAGAAAAUUAAGUUAUUGCAACAAACUAUACGUAGACAGAAAAAGACUAUCUUCAAUCUGAAAACUUUAUUGAAAGAUUUACAAAAAAGCAGGAUAAUAAAUGAUGAUUAUCUGGACAAUUUUCAGAAAUCGAUUUCUGUUAAUGAAGAAAUCCUUUCGCUGGAAUUAACAAAUUGUCAAAAAAGACCAGUUAUCAAAUUAUUAUCGUAAAGAAAUAAAAGCUUUAACUCUUCACUUUUAUUCACCUAAAGCAUUGUAAAUAUGUUAGAAAAACGUUCAAAUCAUGUUUGCCACACACCAAGACUAGCAAACUGCUACAAAUCUAUAAGUGCUGCACCAGGCUUUACAACUGAAUCUUUGGAUACGUUAGAUAAUAAACUUCAUAUAAAUUGCUUUUUUCAUUGAUUAGUGAUGAAAUGGCCAUGCAUAAACAUGGUGAAUUUGAUGGUCAACUUUAUCACAGUUGCAUUAAUAGAGAUAUUCAGAAUGAUGAUGCUUCUGUUUCAUUAGCUAGAGAGACUAAGUUUAUGUUAUUGUACAUCAAUGGUAACUUUACAAUCCCACUCGGUUACUUUUUAAUUGAUGGUUAUGAUGUUACUUUUUAUUUGAUGGUUUCAGUAUUGAUCUAGAAUUGCUCUGAAAAUAAAUCAACUGCAGUAUUUACAAAAGUGAGUGUUACAUUAUGACAUUUUUAAACCACUGCAUACUGAUUUAUUUAAAUGCAAUUCAAAACACUGUUCAAAUAAUAAGCAAGAAUGUUUAUAAUAUGCCUGAAAAUAUGCAUGUGAAAAAUACUGCAAUGCAUUUUCAAGACUCACUUUUCAAAUUAUGUCACAAACAAGCUUAAUGGUGUUAUUAAAUUUUUCCUGCUUAGAUUUA